AGGACAUUUAUUUUAAAGCUGUUUCUUCUUAAGGUGAAGAUAACUCUUUGUAAAUGUUCUAGAGAAAUAGAGUUCUCUGUGUACCUUUGCAGGAAAAAGGACACCUCGUUCUACUACUGACAUUU